AAGUCAGGGGAAACUCUGAUGGAGGACCGUACGGGUUAUUGAUGUGCAAAUCAUUUUUCUGAUGUAGGUAAAGGUGCGAAAGACUCAUCGAACCACCUAAUAGCUGGUUUCCUCCGAAGUUUCCCUCAGGAUAGCUGUAAUGCAUUUAGUUAAGGGGAGUAGAGAUAUGGGUAGAGGUGCAGGGAGCCUUCGGGUUCUCAACUUAUUUCCAAACUUCGAACCUCCUUGUUAGGCAUUUACCUAACUGGAAAUGCUUAAAUGAAUUAGCGUUACAAGUGGGCUCUGACCGGUAAGCGGUCAUGGCGAAAUGGGAUGAACCAUACGUCUGAAUAAGGUGCCGAAAUGUACUAUCACUGAUACCAUAAAGGGAGUCCAUGUAUUUAGACAGCAGGUCGGUGCCCCUAAAAGCAGGUAUCCGCUAAAGAGUGUGUUAAAACUCACCUGCCGAAUACUAGGGCCCCGAAAAUGAAUGGCGCAUAUAGUACUACCGAUCUCAGACAUCAGUUCUAUUGAACUGAGAGUAGGGGGAUGUGGACAUUUUUGUGAAGGUGCAAUGUGAGUUGGACUGGAAGAAUGUCUAUUACAGAUCCUAAUUGAAGUAGCGAUUAUCCAGGCUUGUAUCCUGGGGGCUGAUGAGGAGUAGGGUUUCUGGACAACUUAAACAGAUCCAGAGUUAGUCGAUCCUAAUCUCAAUAAUGGGAGAAAGGGAGUACAGUUGAUAUUCUGUAACUGACAACAGUUCGCGGCAACGCAUACUAUUUUUCUCCGCCAAUCUUAUACCGUUGGUAGGGAUCUCUUUCCUACAUGACAGUACUAAUACCCAGGGAAACUGGUCAUCAGGCGAACUGCGGCGUUCUGCUGGCAAAACAUAGCUUCGGUUAUGUCAAUGGCUAUUGGAUUGGUCCAUGAAGCGAAAAAUAGUUUACUGUGUCACUCGUACCGAUAACCGCAUCAGGUCUUCUAGGUAAGUAGCCUAU
rnacentral:rRNA from 1 species